UGGCGGACGGGUGAGUAAUGUCUGGGAAACUGCCUGAUGGAGGGGGAUAACUACUGGAAACGGUAGCUAAUACCGCAUAACGUCGCAAGACCAAAGAGGGGGACCUUCGGGCCUCUUGCCAUCGGAUGUGCCCAGAUGGGAUUAGCUAGUAGGUGGGGUAACGGCUCACCUAGGUGACGAUCCCUAGCUGGUCUGAGAGGAUGACCAGCCACACUGGAACUGAGACACGGUCCAGACUCCUACGGGAGGCAGCAUG
rnacentral:rRNA from 1 species